rnacentral:rRNA from 1 species
CAAAGGAGUUCAGCGUGUACGCGAGUCAUUGGGUGGUAAAACCCAAAGGCGUAAUGAAAGUGAAGGGAACUUCGCGUUUCUGAGGGAGGAUGAGUCGGUUACCCGCAAGGGGCCAUUCCGCACUCCCGGGGCGUCUCUUUCUCAUUGCGAGUGGAGGCGCACCCAGAGCGUACACGCUGAUACCCGAAAGAUGGUGAACUAUGCCUGGCCAGGACGAAGCCAGGGGAAACCCUGGUGGAGGUCCGCAGCGAUUCUGACGUGCAAAUCGAUCGUCGGAGCUGGGUAUAGGGGCGAAAGACCAAUCGAACCAUCUAGUAGCUGGUUCCCUCCGAAGUUUCCCUCAGGAUAGCUUGCGCUCACGUGAAAGAGUCUCAUCCGGUAGAGCGAAUGAUUAGAGGCCUUGGGGUCGAAACGACCUCAACCUAUUCUCAAACUCCAAAUAGAUGAGAACUCCGGCUUUCUUGAACUUUGUUUUUGAAGCCGGGGGCUCGGAUCAGAGUGCCAAGUGGGCCAAUUUU